GGGGAAUAUUGCGCAAUGGACGAAAGUCUGACGCAGCAACGCCGCGUGGGUGAUGAAGGCCUUAGGGUCGUAAAGCCCUGUCAGGUGGGAAGAACCAGGUCUUUCGGGACCUCUGACGGUACCACCAAAGGAG
rnacentral:rRNA from 1 species